rnacentral:other from 1 species
AGAAUCCUGAAGUGUACGUGUAGCCUAUACUUUCAACCUACAUUACUAAUCCGGGAUCUCAAAUAAAAAAAAUGAUAUCAGACUUUAAAGGUAGCUACCUUUUCCUAGGGACAUAAGGAGAUAAACAAUUUUUUUGAUGGGAACCCACCUGCUGAGGGCAGGUAUGGAUGAAUAGGUGAACGGCAUGUCGGGAAUCUU